rnacentral:misc_RNA from 1 species
UUUUUAUGUUGGCACAUGAUACAUUCAGUUGCAUUAAAAUAUAACUCAUUCAGUAUACAAACAAGUUCUCCAGAUUUAACUUUCAAAUAUCCUAAACAAUACCGAAAACUGUGGUUCUUUAAUACCUUAUUCUCUGACCAAAUUUAAAAGAAAAAAAAAAGAGCCAAAUAGUACACAUUCACAUGAUGGAGCAUGGUUCUACUGAAACACCAGAGUAAAAGAGCUACUCCAACAUUAGCACAAACAAUCACACAAAUACACAAAAGGAUGUAGCUAUAUAACACCUCGUUGACUUCACAGUCGUAUUUCAACAGCUACUCGAGAAGGCAUAGCACAGUAGAAUCAACAAACAAAAGGAGCAUCAACGUGAUGAUCAUCGCAGUAGAGGCCUGGGCGUUGUGUGAAGCCUUGUUUCUGCAUCUUUUUCCUAGCCUUGCUAACAAGCUCCUCAUUGGUGACUGGACCAUCUGAUUCGGCCAGGAUUUCCUGAAUUGCGUUGCUUAGAGCACCAUAAGACUCUCCGCCUGCAGGGGUUGCAUCCGCAGAUGUUUGGUCUGUUUGGCACCCACUGACGAGAAUGCCACUGUCUGGAAGACCUCUAUUACCUGAACCGGCAUAAACCUCCUGUUUACCUUCAACGUGUGUUUCCAUGGCCGGUUUUGCAUAGCUCUCAUCAUUUUCAUCAAGUUUCUGUUUCAGAAACUCUUGAGCCAAGUUACCAACCAUACCCAUGAACCCGCCGCCUCCACCCUGCUCGUUAUUCUUUUGUAGCUUGUUAAAAAUGAUUUUCAUGAAUUUCUUCACCUUAGGACUUGCAUCUUCGCCAAAGACGUCAAAGAGUGUUGGCCUAAGUUUCCCAACAUCAAUAUCAUCCUUACCAGUUUUCUGCUUAAGUAUCUCGAUGAGAGUGGAAAGAGGCAAGGACUUGCUCUUCACAUGAACUUGAUCACCGUCUUCCGUCUCAAUCACACUACUCUCAGCAAAAUUCUCCUCUUCUUCCUCACGGCGAUGGUGGCGACCUGGAAGGUGGAUACCCCGGGAUUCAAAUGCAUCUUCAACAUUUCGACGUAAGAAAUUCUUGAAUCCAAAACCAGAUCCAUGGCCUUCAUCGUCAUCACCUUGCUUGUGGCUCUCCCCUAUCUGCUCUUUAGCUUUGUCAAUGAGGCCACCACUGUGGCAUGAGUCAGAUACAAUUGUGAUCUGGCAACCUUCAGGAACUUUGUCAACGAGCUCUCUAAAAUCAUCAUCUGUAAUAAGAUUCAUAUCACAAGGAACAAUACACUCAUCAAAACCAGUAUCAUCUUCUUCACCCGUUUCAGCAGGUAACCUAGUUCCAUGUCCACUGUAAUGCACAAACAAACAAUCCCCUGAUUCAGCAGAUCCAACAAGAUCCGAUAAAGCUUUACGUAUAUUCCGACCAGUUGGUUGUGUGUAAGAAUCAUCAGUAUCUAUAAGAACAGUAAUGUCUUCCUCAGCAAAUCCGUAACGAUUAAGUAAACAAUUGUACAUUCGCUUAACAUCGUUAAUACAACCUCUAAGUUCUGCUUUUGUUCCUGGAUAAUUGAUUCCAAUUAAUACUGCUUUUUUCGCCAUUGAAAUUUUUCAAGAAAAAAAAUUGAUCUUUUUAGUUUAGAGAAUUUUUUGGGAUUGUUGAUUG